AACGAACGCUGGCGGCAGGCCUAACACAUGCAAGUCGAGCGAAGCCUUCGGGCUUAGCGGCGGGCGGGUGAGUAACGCGUGGGAACGUGCCCUUUGCUACGGAAUAGCCCCGGGAAACUGGGAGUAAUACCGUAUGUGCCCUUCGGGGGAAAGAUUUAUCGGCAAAGGAUCGGCCCGCGUUGGAUUAGGUAGUUGGUGGGGUAAUGGCCUACCAAGCCGACGAUCCAUAGCUGGUUUGAGAGGAUGAUCAGCCACACUGGGACUGAGACACGGCCCAGACUCCUACGGGAGGCAGCAGUGGGGAAUCUUAGACAAUGGGGGAAACCCUGAUCUAGCCAUGCCGCGUGAUCGAUGAAGGCCUUAGGGUUGUAAAGAUCUUUCAGUGGGGAAGAUAAUGACUGUACCCACAGAAGAAGCCCCGGCUAACUCUGUGCCAGCAGCCGCCGUAAUAC
rnacentral:rRNA from 1 species